CAAAUUCACUUUACCAUUAAUACCUAAGCCAGCCGAUUCGCCGAAGUCACUAAUUGUCUGCCGCUCCUGUUCCUCAAGCUACCCAAGCCAGCCGAUUCACCGAAGGCCAUCAGCAUCAACUUUAGAAUUUUUCAUGUAUGAAGUAUGAUGGAGUUGAUUGUAGUAACAAAGUGCCCCCCAUGUGCUUGAAGGAAUGCCAGAGUGGGUAUUGGAUAAAGGGCGUGUCUUGAAUUUUGAUUGAAAUCCAGAAUUAGUGUGAAGAAGUUUCGUUCUUCAUCUGGGCUUUUUGCUUCGAGUUCCUUCUGUGGAUUAGUUCUCGUUUAGAGAAUUUUUUAAUUCAAAUAAAUAGUAGGAAAAUGGGUUUCCCGUUUGAAGCUGAAAGAAGCUAGUAAAUAGGCUCUUAUUAUUACUUUGGGAGAUUGAUCGAAUUGCUUCAGUAUUGAAAUUGGUUCACCUUUGCUAUGAUAUGAAAGAGUUGGUCUCAGUUUAUUGAUUUCAUGUAUUUAGUGGAAUUUAGAGGCGUCGUUUAGUUGAUCUGAACUCGUUGCUUGCUUAAAUAAACGGGUUUUUCCUUUACGGUGAAUUCCUUUAUUUACAUGAGCCAGUGCCUAGCGAUUAGGCUUAAUGUGUGAGAAAUGAAUUUGUGGAUGUGUUUUUCUAUAAAGUACGACGCCAUAUCCCUCUUUUCCAUUCUCUCUGUUUAGGUAAGACUAGAAUUUGUACCCCCGCGUUGUUGCGGGGUUGAAAAUUAUAUGAAAGAUUAUGGAACUGUAAUCUUCAUAAAUAAUGUUAGAGUCAAAAAUUGAUUUACGAACGCUAAUGCAACCAAUGCAAUUUAUUCAUGACUUAUAAUAUAUGACCCAAGAAUAUUCAUGCAGAUAUGAACAUCAUCAGCAGCAAGAUCCUGAAAUUUAACAUUUCUUCUCUAACCACAAAACUACACAGUUAAGCAAACAUGGACUGGAGCUGAUUUUAAAAUUCAUUUAAAAGGGAAUGGUAAAUCUUAUGCAUGCCAAAGAAGAUUCAGAGCAAAAUCUUAAGAAACAUUUCCAACUCGUUUACUUUUGGAGUGCAUAUAUGUGUGUGUGUGUGGGUGUGUGUUUAUUGUUCUUAAACUAAUAUAUUGUACAAAAUUGGGUCAAUUUUCAGAUUUUCACCAACCUAGCAACUUUCAAUUCUUCGACAAUCAACAUUCACGUACACUGGUAACAAAUAUCGUUUUCAUCUUACUUAUUCCCAAGCAACAAUGAAAGGAUAUUCCCAAGCAGCUUGCUUUCCUCCGUGCUUUUUCAAUAGAUACUGGAAAGAUGUU